rnacentral:rRNA from 1 species
UACGGAGGGUGCAAGCGUUAUCCGGAUUUACUGGGUUUAAAGGGUGUGUCGGCGGACAUUUAAGUCAGGGGUGAAAUCCCGAGGCUCAACCUCGGAACUGCCUUUGAUACUAUUUGUCUUGAAUGUUGUUGAGGUGGGCGGAACGGGUCAUGUAGCGGUGAAAUGCAUAGAUAUGACCCGGAACACCGAUUGCGAAGGCAGCCCGCUAAGCAACUAUUGACGCUGAGGCACGAAAGCGUGGGGAUCAAACAGG